GACGGCCGUGUUGCAAAAAACUGGGCGCGCGCCAUGGAAAACGGGUGAAAACCAUGUGCGUGGCAUGGACGGAUGAACGUACGGGCACACGGGCCAAAAAACGUGAACUUGAGGAAACGGGGAAACACGGGGUAUGACGGCCGUUUUGCAAAAAACUGGGCGCGCACCAUGGAAAACGGGUGAAAACCUUGUGCGUGGCAUGGAAGGAUGCACGUACGGGCACACGUGCCAAAAAACGUGAACGUGAGGAAACGGGAAAAACGGGUACGGGGCCGUGUUGCAACAAACUGGGCGCGCACCAUGGAAAACUGGGGCAAACCAUGUGCGUGUCAUGGACGGAUGCACGUACGGGCACACGGGCCAAAAAACGUGAACGUGAGGAAACGGGAAAAACGGGUACGGGGCCGCGUUGCAAAAAACUGGGCGGGCACACGGGCCAAAAAACGUGAACGUGAGGAAACGGGAAAAAACGGGCAGGGCGGACGUGUUGCAAAAAACGGGCGCGCACCAUGGAAAACAGGGGAAAACCAUGUGCGUGGCAUGGACGGAUUCACGUACGGGCAGACGUGGCAAAAAACGUGAACCUGAGGGAACGGGAAAGAACGGGGUACGACGGCCGUGUUGCAUAAAACAGGGCGCGCGCCAUGGAAAACGGGUGAAAACCAUGUGCGUGGC
rnacentral:lncRNA from 1 species